UCAUCAUCAUCAUCAUCAUCAAAUUGUUCACUGCUGUGUUCAGUGGUGAAUGUGAGUGAUGUGUCUCUCUCCUGGUACAAAGGAAACAGUUUAUUGUCCAGCAUCAGUGUGUCUGAUCUCAGCAGAAGUCUUUCUUUACAUCUGGAGUGUCUGGAUGAUUUCUACAGCUGUGUGGUGAACAAUCCCAUCAGAAACCACACCACACAUCUCAACACUCAACUCUGUCACACAUGUUCAGUUCAGACCAGUGAUAGAGAGAUCACUUCUGCUGAUCCAACAUUUUACAAAAAGACAUAAAUCAGGUCACACAAGUCCAUCAGAGGCUUUACAAUAUUGUCACAUCACAAACUCUAACGUCAUCCAAGACACAUCUUUUCCCUCCAAAAUGGGAAAUUAUAUUAUAGGCCAAUUAUAGGCCAAUUUUAACCUAAUACAAAUAUUUAAUCA